AAAAAAUGAAACCAAAACAUGCCUUGGAGCUAAGCAACAUCUCAGAUGUGUCACCAAAAAACAGUGAGACCUACUCAGUGACAGGCAGCAGCCAGCCAGCCACCAGCCGGAGCCAUCGUCAGGAGCCCACAAGCAUGGGGUUGCAGUGGACCUACGGCCAGGAUAUGCCUUCUGGAAAGUACCACCUUGGAGAAGCUCACUGACAUGCCCCUGCCAUGUGUUGGACACUGUGGUGUGCGUCUUUCUUUGUCACUGGCCAGUAAAUAACAACACACUAUAACGUGGUGACCGACAUUCAAAGCAGGAGCCGCCAGGGCCACGUGAGGGCUGCUGGGGACCUGGGGAGCUCGCUGCAGCCCUCCACGGGGCUGAGCGGAGGGAGAGAGGCGUUGUGAUGGCCACCAGGGAUAUCCAGCAAUGUCAGUCCCAGGGAACAGCUCCUGGAUGAGCUGAGGGCUGCGAUCACCUCUCCCUCAUCCA